AAUGGAACCAUACAGUACAUAGCAGAAAACUCAUCAUUUUUAAAGGCUGACUUAUAAAUUUGGCAACCAAUGAAUUCUAAGUGUAUUUAAAGAGUCAUUACAAUUUUUAUUUCAAAUCAGAUGAUAUAUUUUCUGUUGACUUACAGAAGAGGUCUAGUAUUUUUGAAAUGCCUCUUGAAUUAGUUCCUUUAUAGGUAAGUGGGUCUUUCUCAUAUGUUCUCUAUCAGCCAUUAAGUCUCAACCUUGAGGCUGGAGUUGGCAAGGGGAACGACAUGACAUAGAGGAGACCUCAGGUAUUCAGGAAGGGGAAAUAAAGGGGAAGUUCCCCUUGUCACCUGAAUGGAGAGUGGGAAGAGGAGAGAGUCAUGUGAGGUAGACAGUGAAAUAGAUGGCCCUCCAUCUCCAUUUUAGAGGAACUCUGGGGAGUUGUAGAGAGGAAUGUCAAGGGCAGGGGCAUUUUGCUUGUUUGUUUAAUUUUCUGCAAUUCUUGGCUUGGACUCUGGGAUGAAAUGGCCUGGUGACCUGACCUGCAUCAAACCUCAGAGAUGCCACUCCUAAGUAAACAUGGCACAAAGACAAUCUCAGUUUUCAUGUAUUAUGGAGGGGCCGCUGAAGUUCCCUCAUGGAGUGAGAGGAGAUGAAGUAGCUAAGUUGAGAGUGGCCCACGGUGACAAGGGGAGAGGACCCUACAAUAGAGAGCAUGGACUCAUCUAGACCAGGGGCUAGACAGAGGAGAACCCGGGCAGCCAGGAGGCACCCCAAACCUGGCUCAGAGGCCACAUGUUGAAGCAUAUGUACAGUCAACUUAGUAGCACACAAAGGUCAGGAGGGAGGGCGGUGGGCAACAGCGAGGGCCGGAGCCUCCAGGGACCCUUCUUGGGUUCUAGAGCCCCUCUACUCUCGUCCCAUGGUGAUUCAGUGAACACACCCUUCCACCCAAUCCCAUCUUGUGGAAGCAGAGGGAAGGGCAUGAAAACAGAAAGGCUAAACAUUUUUCCUCAAGUGUUGUUCGAAAUAUUGUAGCCAACUAAGGUGACUCCGUGGGCAAGGGUUUGUGAGAAAGGCUAAAGCUGUAUUCUCAGCCCAUCUGAGCAUAAUGUGUGUAAAUCUCCAGCCCCCGUGUACUCCCAUUACAACUUCACAGCUAUUUUACCUUAAUUUCUAAUCUAUUACCUCUUAUAGUGGAGCUUUAAGAAUCUUGGUCUUACAGCUUCAGAAGCUAUACAUUUUAAGGAAUAGACUCAUCCCUCUGGAAAUACUGAUUUUUUUCAAAGUGUGUAACUCGAGUAGGCACUUUGUAACUCAUCUUUAAGUUCAGGAUUACACCAUUCAGAUUUUCUCAAAUGGGACAUUUCUUUGUGGAUACAUACAAAGGUACAUCAUACUAUCAGGUCCAUUUAUGCACUUCCAUAAGGCAAACAUGAGCUUUUCAUAAUGAGCAAUUGGAAUGGGAUUUGGUUGCUAGGAGAUUAAGUAAAUGAUUAUCAAUAACAGAAAGAACAAAUGCCCUUUAUUUGAGAGCAAAUAAACCUGAAGUAUUAGGGCAAGUUACAAUGCCACAGUGAUAAAGUUUCCUAGUUCCUAAUGAAAAACAAACUUAACCCAAGGGAAACUCCCUAGGCAAUUAUAUUCCCCAUGUGUAACUAGGCAGGAAAAAUAAGAGAUUUAAGAAGAUAGAAAAGGAAUAUCUUUGUAGACCUCCAUAAAAAUUGGAUGUUGGAACAUGAAAUGCUCUCUGCAGUAUAUCACUAUUUUUUUUUUGCAUCCUUUUAUCACUCUGACACAGGAAAUCAAUCCUGGGAAAAGGUGAGAGUCAGCAUUUGAAAUGCAUUGGGAAAUUAUAAAUUAUAAGAGCUAUUGAUAAAGCUAGUAUUUAUAGCUGUAUCGAGGAUUUUAUAUUAUUUACAUCUGGACUGUAGACAUAAUUAAAGCCCACUAACCCAUUCUGAUUUAUUAAAGCUGUUUCCAUUUACAAAGCCACAUGAGACUUUAAUAGCAGACAAAUAUACAUGAGAUAGAAAUGCUCCUACAGGGUCACUUGGUUUAAAAUACAGCCAUUUAAAAUAAAGACCUCCCAACCCAGACUGUAUAUUUUGACAUAAAUCAAUUCCAAAUUGGCAACAGCAAGGAUGUAUUUUUUGGUAUUCAUCUACAAACACAAAUUAUUGUGAGUGGUGUCAGAUAGUACAUAGGCAUAUAAAGUGUCCAGAGAUAUGGUGAAUUUCUGAUCCUGAAAACUCUGGAAGAGUUUCCUCAAAACCCUAUCUUCAGAUUCUAUAUCUGGGAGAGGCAUAAUCAACCAGCAAGCAUUACCAAUCAUCUCUCUUAGCACUUUCUCAGUCUACUUCUCCUAUGUCUUAAUCUCCCCUACCUUUGGUGAGGUCUUCGGUUUCAUUCAGUCAUCUACUGAUGCAUUCAUUAAUUUGUCUUUUAGUUAUCUACUGCUGUGUAACAAAUUAACCCCAAGACAGUGGCUUAAAACUAAACACAUUUAUUAUCUCUUGGUUUCUAUAGGCCAGGAGUCUAGGCAUGACUUAGCUGGGUUCUCUGCUUCAGAGGCUCUCACAAGGCUGUACCCAGUGUUGGCCAAGGGUGGGAUCUCAUCUGAAGGCUGACUGGGGAAGCUUCCACUCCCAAGCUUAUGUGGUUGUUGGCAGGAUUCAGUUCCUUGCAGGUUGCUGGACUGAGGACCUGAGCGCCUCCUGAGGUCACCCUCAGUUCCUUGCUACAUGAGCUUUUCCAACGAGGCAGCUUGCUUCUUCAAAGCACGUAAGCUGAGAAGAGAGCAAUCCCUGAAAACAACCAACUGGAGGAUUCUACUAAGGGCAGCACGGUGUCUAUUUCCUGUCCGCUAUGGCCACUUACUCAGACGACAGUGCAAGUAGAGACCGCAUGCUCAUAGCCCUGGAUGACCAUGGAAGGAGGGGGUCAGUCUUCUGUCCUUUGGACAGUCCCCCCUGGCUUUAUGACUGUGGGUGACUCAUUCAGGAGUCUGGCAACUUUCUUCCUGCCAUUAAAGGAAAAGAUACACCAAAAAGUGUGGAUUCCUGGAUUCACCUUUUCCAUAAAGUGUAUCCUCUUCCUGUCUCCCUGAUUUCUAGGAAUAGGACCAUUUGCUACUUGACACCUUUCCAGAGGCAACCAGUCAAGUCUUACCAAGUCUUUCUUCCCAAAGCCUAUGCAUCUGUCCUUUUUUAUAUACAUCAUUCCUCCACUUAGCCUAGUACCAAGGAUCAGUGAAAUAGUUCACAGGAGAGGUCAAAAUCCCCCAAUCUGGAAGCCUCUGGAGGGAACCUAAAGUCCUCCUAACACCCACAGAACGUACAUUACGUGCAUAAGCAAAUACUGGCCUACUCUUUAGUAGUUUUAAAGUUCUUUACCAAAGAGAAAGAUUUGAGGCCAGAAGCUGCAUUCCCGGUGGACCCUUAAAUAACUUCUUGCUUUAUUUUUCCUGGAAGUUGGAGGGAAAAAUAAGUAUGCCAAGAUCUGUGUAACAGAGUCCAUAUGGAUGGAGCAGGAAGAUACUAGAAUUUUAAUUUAUAUAUUCAUCUCUUUUUAAAAUUUCUAUUCUCUAUGUAUAAUUUUAAAAUAAAUAUUCACGUGUGUGUGUGUGUGUGUGUGUGUGUGUGUGUGUGUAUUCAUGAUCACAUUUUUAAGUGGUGGAGGUACAUGCAAAAGAAAAAUUAGAGACAGUUUAGACCAGAGGACUCAGCCUCAAGAAUUUUAAAAAAUCAGACC